rnacentral:rRNA from 1 species
UACGUAGGGUGCAAGCGUUAAUCGGAAUUACUGGGCGUAAAGCGUGCGCAGGCGGUUCGGAAAGAAAGGUGUGAAAUCCCAGGGCUUAACCUUGGAACUGCACUUUUAACUCCCGAGCUAGAGUAUGUCAGAGGGGGGUGGAAUUCCGCGUGUAGCAGUGAAAUGCGUAGAUAUGCGGAGGAACACCGAUGGCGAAGGCAGCCCCCUGGGAUGAUACUGACGCUCAUGCACGAAAGCGUGGGGAGCAAACAGG